GACGAACGCUGGCGGCGUGCUUAACACAUGCAAGUCGAACGGAAAGGCCCUGCUUUUGUGGGGUGCUCGAGUGGCGAACGGGUGAGUAACACGUGAGUAACCUGCCCUUGACUUUGGGAUAACUUCAGGAAACUGGGGCUAAUACCGGAUAGGAGCUCCUGCUGCAUGGUGGGGGUUGGAAAGUUUCGGCGGUUGGGGAUGGACUCGCGGCUUAUCAGCUUGUUGGUGGGGUAGUGGCUUACCAAGGCUUUGGCGGGUAGCCGGCCUGAGAGGGUGACCGGCCACAUUGGGACUGAGAUACGGCCCAGACUCCUACGGGAGGCAGCAGUGGGGAAUAUUGCACAAUGGGCGGAAGCCUGAUGCAGCAACGCCGCGUGCGGGAUGACGGCCUUCGGGUUGUAAACCGCUUUCGCCUGUGACGAAGCGUGAGUGACGGUAAUGGGUAAAGAAGCACCGGCUAACUACGUGCCAGCAGCCGCGGUGAUACGUAGGGUGCGAGCGUUGUCCGGAUUUAUUGGGCGUAAGGGCUCGUAGGUGGUUGAUCGCGUCGGAAGUGUAAUCUUGGGGCUUAACCCUGAGCGUGCUUUCGAUACGGGUUGACUUGAGGAAGGUAGGGGAGAAUGGAAUUCCUGGUGGAGCGGUGGAAUGCGCAGAUAUCAGGAGGAACACCAGUGGCGAAGGCGGUUCUCUGGGCCUUUCCUGACGCUGAGGAGCGAAAGCGUGGGGAGCGAACAGGCUUAGAUACCCUGGUAGUCCACGCUGUAAACGGUGGGUACUAGGUGUGGGGUCCAUUCCACGGGUUCCGUGCCGUAGCUAACGCUUUAAGUACCCCGCCUGGGGAGUACGGCCGCAAGGCUAAAACUCAAAGGAAUUGACGGGGCCCCGCACAAGCGGCGGAGCAUGCGGAUUAAUUCGAUGCAACGCGUAGAACCUUACCUGGGUUUGACAUGGAUCGGGAGUGCUCAGAGAUGGGUGUGCCUCUUUUGGGGUCGGUUCACAGGUGGUGCAUGGCUGUCGUCAGCUCGUGUCGUGAGAUGUUGGGUUAAGUCCCGCAACGAGCGCAACCCUUGUUCACUGUUGCCAGCACGUUAUGGUGGGGACUCAGUGGAGACCGCCGGGGUCAACUCGGAGGAAGGUGGGGAUGACGUCAAGUCAUCAUGCCCCUUAUGUCCAGGGCUUCACGCAUGCUACAAUGGCUGGUACAGAGAGUGGCGAGCCUGUGAGGGUGAGCGAAUCUCGGAAAGCCGGUCUCAGUUCGGAUUGGGGUCUGCAACUCGACCUCAUGAAGUCGGAGUCGCUAGUAAUCGCAGAUCAGCAACGCUGCGGUGAAUACGUUCCCGGGGCU
rnacentral:rRNA from 1 species